GAUUGCACUUUAAACUGGAUCUCUUGAGGGCAGGAGAGGAAAGUGGAAUUCCUAGUGUAGCGGUGAAAUGCGUAGAUAUUAGGAGGAACACCAGUGGCGAAGGCGACUUUCUGGACUGUACCUGACGCUGAGGCGCGAAAGCGUGGGUAUGGAACAGGAUUAUAUACCCUGGUAUUCCACGCCGUAAACGAUGAAUACUAGGUGUAGGGGGUAUCGACCCCCCCUGUGCCGCAGUUAACACAAUAAGUAUUCCGCCUGGGGAGUACGGCCGCAAGGCUGAAACUCAAAGGAAUUGACGGGGACCCGCACAAGCGGUGGAGCAUGUGGUUUAAUUCGACGCAACGCGAAGAACCUUACCGGGGCUUGACAUCCCUUGACCGCCAUGGAGACAUGGUUUUCGGGCCUUCAGGCCUGACAAGGAGACACGUGGUGCAUGGUUGUCGUCUCCUCGUGUCCUGAGAUGUUGGGUUACGUCCCACUUCGAGCGCUGCGGCUAUACUCACUUGGCGGCUCGUCUAUGUGGGAACUCUGAACAAACUGCCGGUGACAAACCGGAGGAAGUGAUGGUAUGACGUCGUGUCAUCAUGCCCGUUAUGUCCUGCGCUACACACGUGCUACAUUGCCCGCCUACAGCAUGCUGCUAAGGAGCGAUACCUGAGCUAAUCUCCAAAGCCUCUCUCAGAUCUCAAUGCAUGCUGCCGCUCCC
rnacentral:rRNA from 1 species